AAUCUGCUCGAGGUUUGCAAACCUGGCUGAGAUUAUUGAAAUGGAUGCAUUUUUACUGAAACAUCAGAAGCUUUGGGGAGCUCAGGACCCAUUGCACUGGCCUCUGCAAUAGAGGUCUUCUCUGUGCAAAUGUGCAGGGCCUUCUGUCAUCACUCCAAGGGAUCUGUGUGGAUUUUCUGAAUUAUUUUCUACAUACCACAGAGGGGAUUAGGAGGGAGCCUUUGUACUGUCUGUUGUGGACUGCAAGUAAGCUUUUCUAGAAAUUACUCAGAUGCUUUGGUGUGGACAGGCUGCUUAUAUGCUUUUUUUUAGCCUCAGGUCACUUCAUAGCACCUGGAACACCAACAUUUUAAAGAGCAUGGCCUUAAAAUUCCAUGGUCUUUAAAUUAAAAAAUUAACUUUUACAUAAACAUUUGCAAUAAGCCCCAAAAUAGGCUGCUUGUUGUAUUAUUUCCUUUUUUUUUUUAGAAAUUAUUCUCACUUCCUGUGCCAAGUACCAAGUAUGCAGCAACAUCUGCUGCAUAAAAAACACAUCUGGUCAGCAGGGGGAGAGGGGGCAGCCACAGAGGUCACUUUUGGAGGGCGUGGUGAGGGGUGGGGACGAGCAGAUGUAAGAGGCUGUUGAGUGUGUGUGAAGCAGCUCUUGGUCCAGCUGCUCUCUGAGCCUGGUGCUGCAUCUACCACUGCCCUGCCCUGUGCCAUCCCUGGUCAGCUUCAUUCAGCAUGGAGAAGAAGCUUCCCAAGUCCCAGGAAUGUUGCUGGUUGCCAAACUCAGUCUCUGCCAUAAAUAUGAAGGGCUUUUUCUACUCUUUCUGACAUUCUGCCCAGAUUGCAUGCUGUGAAAAUUCAGAGCUGUCAUGGAGACUCGACAUGCUGGUGAACACCUUGUCUGAGCAAGAUAUUUAGUGUAUUUUCUUCCCAACAGGUGGGACAGGCAGUUCCUCCUAGACUUUGGACCACAGGCUUUCCCAGGCCUUUGGUAUGCACUGUGCUUCCAGGGUGCUUGGGAGCAGGGAAAUAAAAAGUGGAGUAAGGGAUUAGAUAAAGAAGUACUGAAUGAAGAGGGCUUGGAUCAGCGGCGAUGAAGGAAAAAAGGGCUGGAAAGAUAAAACACAUACUUUGCCACAGGACUUCCACACCCACUUUGAGGACAGCAGGCUGGUAGAUCCAGCAGAGACCACAGAUACUCCAGGCCACUGGGUUAUCAGGGAGCAAAGCUGUAUUUUUGCAGGAAAGCCACUUUCUGUGUUGCUGUUGACCUGCUUUGGAGUGUAAGUUCAGCCUUGGUGAAACCAAACACUCGAUGGCUGAACUGGUUUUCUGCAUGUCAAACUUGCAGUCUGGGAAACAUCACCAUUUCUGCCUCUCCAUACUCAUCUGAGUUUUCUCAGCUGUUAGCAGGAUGAACUCCUAAGUGAUAUUUCCAGUAAGAAGGCUGUUUAGAAACAGAUGUGCAACAAUUUCAGGAGCAUCCUUAUUUUAAUGUAGCCUUAUACGAAUUUGUCUUCAAAUUCUUUGGAUGGAUAAUUCCUUGUCGCACAUGAUGAUUCAUCAUGAAAAUAAUAAUCACUUUACUGGCUGCAUAGUGUUUAAUCUUGCAUCAAAUAAAGAAGUGAUUGAAACUUGCUCUUAUCACGCCAGAACAAGUUUGUUCAGAAGAAGAAAAUAAUUAUGUUAUUUUUGUACAAAUUGGUAUAAUGAGCUGUCUCUGUGCUAUUAUCUCUGAGCAUUAACGGGGUCUAUUAUGCAGGAUAAUACUCUGAAUAAUUAUUACUUAUCUGCAUGUACAUACACUGAAUAAUAAAAUAAUUAGACCUUUUAAAACAGAGGAUAGAAAAGAUUCCAUUUACUGUAAUUCUGACUUUCUGAUUAUAAGGUUGGAAUAAAAAAUGUGAUAUUU